rnacentral:rRNA from 1 species
GGGAGCUGGUAAUGCCCGAAGUCGGUUUAUAAAGAAACUGCCUAAGGCAGGACUGGUGACUGGGGUU